CUAUAGUUCAGUUGGUUAGAGCGUCAGAUUGUGGUUCUGAAUGUCGUGGGUUCGAGUCCCAUCUG
rnacentral:tRNA from 1 species